UACAGAGGUCUCAACCGUUGUUCGGAUUUAUUGGGCGUAAAGGGUGCGUAGGCGGCGGGGCAAGUCAGGUGUGAAAUCUCGGGGCUCAACCCCGAAACUGCAUUUGAUACUGCCUUGCUAGAGUACUGGAGAGGAGACUGGAAUUUACGGUGUAGCAGUGAAAUGCGUAGAUAUCGUAAGGAAGACCAGUGGCGAAGGCGAGUCUCUGGACAGUUACUGACGCUGAGGCACGAAGGCCAGGGGAGCAAACGGG
rnacentral:rRNA from 1 species